rnacentral:lncRNA from 1 species
UUAGCCCCAUCAUCAAUUUUUCAGAAAAAAAAAAAUUGAUAUACAUUUAGGUCAAAUCUGAUUUCCAGAAGCAGUCGAAGAACUUAAAAGGUAGAAAUCAAGAUGAAAAAGCCAAAUAAAUUAACAAAAUAAGGAGGAAGCGCUCAAAAGGUUUUACUUAACCGACAUUAUAGAUGAAAAAGAUCACCCUGAGUUUCAAAAAAGGUUCUAAAAAUAAUAAACGCAAAAUGGGCCCAGUAAACGGCCCAACAUAAAAAGUUCUUAGGAUUCAAAAUAAGGCAAAUAGAGAUAAAAGGAUAGGAGAAAGAGAGAAGUCAACGAUCGACAGAUUAGUCGACCUCCUCAAUCUUGGGACCAGCACCGCCUGAAGAAGGAGGGGCAUCAUC